CUGCGGAAGGAUCAUUAAUGAAAUAUAGAAAGGAGCUGUCGCUGGCCCUCGGGCAUGUGCACGCUCCCUUCGUUCCAAUUUCAACCCCUGAUGCAUCUUUUGUAGGGAGGUGCUCACGCGCCGACCUAUGUCAUUACAAACCCUGAUAGUAUACAGAAUGUCUUAUGCAUAACGCAUUUUAAUACAACUUUCAGCAACGGAUCUCUUGGCUCUCGCAUCGAUGAAGAACGCAGCGAAAUGCGAUAAGUAAUGUGAAUUGCAGAAUUCAGUGAAUCAUCGAAUCUUUGAACGCACCUUGCGCUCCUUGGUAUUCCGAGGAGCAUGCCUGUUUGAGUGUCAUGGAACCAUCAACUUUGAAAGAGUUUUUUCUCUUUCGAGGCUUGGAUAUUGGGAGCUUGCUGGCUGCGGUCGGCUCUCCUUGAAUAAAUUAGCUGCAUCUCACAAAAGUCCAGCUGCACGGUGUGAUAAUUAUCUGCAUCGUCUUGAGCUUUUGGCGGGUCGGCUUCCAAUUGUCUUUGUGACAUUUUUGACCUCUGACCUCAAAUCAGGUAGGAUUACCCGCUGAACUUAAGCAUAUCAAUAAGCGGAGGAAAAGAAACUAACAAGGAUUCCCCUAGUAACUGCGAGUGAAGCGGGAAAAGCUCAAAUUUAAAAUCUGGCGGUCUCUGGCCGUCCGAGUUGUAGUCUGGAGAAGUGCUUUCCGCGCUGGACCGUGUACAAGUCCCUUGGAACAGGGCGUCAUAGAGGGUGAGAAUCCCGUCUCUGACACGGACUACCAGUGCUUUGUGAUGCGCUCUCGAAGAGUCGAGUUGUUUGGGAAUGCAGCUCAAAAUGGGUGGUAAAUUCCAUCUAAAGCUAAAUAUUGGCGAGAGACCGAUAGCGAACAAGUACCGUGAGGGAAAGAUGAAAAGCACUUUGGAAAGAGAGUUAAACAGUACGUGAAAUUGCUGAAAGGGAAACGCUUGAAGUCAGUCGCGUUGGCCGGAACUCAGCCUUGCUUGAUUGCUCGGUGCACUUUCCGGUCGACGGGCCAGCAUCGAUUUUGAUUGUUGGAAAAAGGCCGGGGGAAUGUGGCACCUUCGGGUGUGUUAUAGCCCUUGGUCACAUACGACGGUUGGGAUCGAGGAACUCAGCACGCCUCUUGAUUGAGGUCGGGGCUUCGGCCCACGUUUACGUGCUUAGGAUGCUGGCGUAAUGGCUUUAAACGACCCGUCUUGAAACACGGACCAAGGAGUCUAACCUGUGCGCGAGUGUUUGGGUGGAAAACCCGAGCGCGUAAUGAAAGUGAAAGUUGAGAUCCCUGUCGCGGGGAGCAUCGACGCCCGGACCAGACCUUUUUGUGACGGAUCCGCGGUAGAGCGUAUACGUUGGGACCCGAAAGAUGGUGAACUAUGCCUGAAUAGGGUGAAGCCAGAGGAAACUCUGGUGGAGGCUCGUAGCGAUUCUGACGUGCAAAUCGAUCGUCAAAUUUGGGUAUAGGGGCGAAAGAC
rnacentral:rRNA from 1 species